AGCCUAACAGCCUCAUGAAAGGUGACAUCCCCAACUUCAUCAACACGGACCAGAACUCUUCCCUUGGGGAAGAUGAUCUCCUGAUUUUGGAACCACCAAUUGUUCUAGAAAAUAAGGCAGUUGCCCAGACCUCACACAAAGAAUUGAAUUGAGAAACGUGCUUUGUCAAGUGUCUUUCUGAAGAUGUAAAGUCUGUUUUUGUAUGGCAGGAAGUCCCCUUUCACAAAAUUGUAUGUGUUUUUGUCUGAGAGACAGAAAUGGAGACAGACAGAAAGACGAAGAGACAGAAGAGAGCCCCCUCAGAAGAGAGCUGGUUAAGGAGGAGGAUCAACCCAUGGUGAAUUUUAUGACAAUCCUGUCCCCAGGAAUGCACGGACGGUUAUCAGUUGAGUGAGGGUAGGUGCCUCUGUGUCUCUGUGUCCCUGUAUCUCUGUCUGCUCACAGUGCCCUGCCACCAGCUA